rnacentral:rRNA from 1 species
CUAAUGUUGAAAAAUUAGCGGAUGACCUGUGGCUGGGGGUGAAAGGCCAAUCAAACCGGGAGAUAGCUGGUUCUCCCCGAAAGCUAUUUAGGUAGCGCCUCGUGAACUCAUCUCCGGGGGUAGAGCACUGUUUCGGCUAGGGGGCCAUCCCGGCUUACCAACCCGAUGCAAACUGCGAAUACCGGAGAAUGUUAUCACGGGAGACACACGGCGGGUGCUAACGUCCGUCGUGAAGAGGGAAACAACCCAGACCGCCAGCUAAGGUCCCAAAGUCAUGGUUAAGUGGGAAACGAUGUGGGAAGGCCCAGACAGCCAGGAUGUUGGCUUAGAAGCAGCCAUCAUUUAAAGAAAGCGUAAUAGCUCACUGGUCGAGUCGGCCUGCGCGGAAGAUGUAACGGGGCUAAACCAUGCACCGAAGCUGCGGCAGCGACACUCAGGUGUUGUUGGGUAGGGGAGCGUUCUGUAAGCCUGCGAAGGUGGCCUGUGAGGGUUGCUGGAGGUAUCAGAAGUGCGAAUGCUGACAUAAGUAACGAUAAAGCGGGUGAAAAGCCCGCUCGCCGGAAGACCAAGGGUUCCUGUCCAACGUUAAUCGGGGCAGGGUGAGUCGACCCCUAAGGCGAGGCCGAAAGGCGUAGUCGAUGGGAAACGGGUUAAUAUUCCCGUACUUGGUGUUACUGCGAAGGGGGGACGGAGAAGGCUAUGUUGGCCGGGCGACGGUUGUCCCGGUUUAAGCGUGUAGGUGUGUGUUCCAGGUAAAUCCGGUUCACUUUAACACUGAGGCGUGAUGACGAGGCACUACGGUGCUGAAGCAACAAAUGCCCUGCUUCCAGGAAAAGCCUCUAAGCAUCAGGUAACAUCAAAUCGUACCCCAAACCGACACAGGUGGUCAGGUAGAGAAUACCAAGGCGCUUGAGAGAACUCGGGUGAAGGAACUAGGCAAAAUGGUGCCGUAACUUCGGGAGAAGGCACGCUGACACGUAGGUGAAGUGAUUUACUCAUGGAGCUGAAGUCAGUCGAAGAUACCAGCUGGCUGCAACUGUUUAUUAAAAACACAGCACUGUGCAAACACGAAAGUGGACGUAUACGGUGUGACGCCUGCCCGGUGCCGGAAGGUUAAUUGAUGGGGUCAGCGCAAGCGAAGCUCCUGAUCGAAGCCCCGGUAAACGGCGGCCGUAACUAUAACGGUCCUAAGGUAGCGAAAUUCCUUGUCGGGUAAGUUCCGACCUGCACGAAUGGCGUAAUGAUGGCCAGGCUGUCUCCACCCGAGACUCAGUGAAAUUGAACUCGCUGUGAAGAUGCAGUGUACCCGCGGCAAGACGGAAAGACCCCGUGAACCUUUACUAUAGCUUGACACUGAACAUUGAGCCUUGAUGUGUAGGAUAGGUGGGAGGCUUUGAAGUGUGGACGCCAGUCUGCAUGGAGCCGGCCUUGAAAUACCACCCUUUAAUGUUUGAUGUUCUAACGUGGACCCGUGAUCCGGGUUGCGGACAGUGUCUGGUGGGUAGUUUGACUGGGGCGGUCUCCUCCUAAAGAGUAACGGAGGAGCACGAAGGUUGGCUAAUCCUGGUCGGACAUCAGGAGGUUAGUGCAAUGGCAUAAGCCAGCUUGACUGCGAGCGUGACGGCGCGAGCAGGUGCGAAAGCAGGUCAUAGUGAUCCGGUGGUUCUGAAUGGAAGGGCCAUCGCUCAACGGAUAAAAGGUACUCCGGGGAUAACAGGCUGAUACCGCCCAAGAGUUCAUAUCGACGGCGGUGUUUGGCACCUCGAUGUCGGCUCAUCACAUCCUGGGGCUGAAGUAGGUCCCAAGGGUAUGGCUGUUCGCCAUUUAAAGUGGUACGCGAGCUGGGUUUAGAACGUCGUGAGACAGUUCGGUCCCUAUCUGCCGUGGGCGCUGGAGAACUGAGGGGGGCUGCUCCUAGUACGAGAGGACCGGAGUGGACGCAUCACUGGUGUUCGGGUUGUCAUGCCAAUGGCACUGCCCGGUAGCUAAAUGCGGAAGAGAUAAGUGCUGAAAGCAUCUAAGCACGAAACUUGCCCCGAGAUGAGUUCUCCCUGAGACUUUAGGUCUCCUGAAGGAACGUUGAAGACGACGACGUUGAUAGGCCGGGUGUGUAAGCGCAGCGAUGCGUUGAGCUAACCGGUACUAAUGAACCGUGAGGCUUAACCUUACA